CGUUAUGGCGGCUGUGUGCGGGCAGACUUCGGUCUGGCCGGGUGCCUACUACCGGUGAUCUCACUCUGCACAUAGCUGCCACCUCU
rnacentral:antisense_RNA from 1 species